CACUCGUUCUGCCUGCAUUGUCUUUGUGUCACACCGGCUUAUGUCUCGUUCUGACCAUAGAUCUGGACUUGGCUGGCUUUAAGUUCAUCCGAGCCCAGCUGAUGAGAUGCUCAAGGCCUGGGACUGAUGUUGUAGUCACAGUCAGAUCAUCCAUAAAUGCUCUGAUGGGAGGCUGCCUGAGUCGGAAGAAAAAUCACGACGAACACGCACAUCCCAAAUGGCGACAAGGGAGUCGGAGAAGAGAAGAAGGAAUAUUCAAAUGGGCAAUAAAUAAAUACCUAUCUCUUACGAUUUUUCUUUUAGCGAUGUAGAAACCCACAAUGCAUCUACUUGGUCACAUUUCUACAAAUGUAUGCAUUUGGAUUGUCAUGAUCCGUGGUCCGGAUCAUGUUUUUGUAUUUUCUGUUAGUUUUGGACUCCUUUAGUUCCUGUUUGUGACACCUGAGUUUGGUUUGGUUGCCAUGGCUGCUUAUUGUUUUCACCUGCCUCUGGUGUUCGGGACGCUCAGCUGUCUCUAAUCAGAGGCAUUAUUUAAGCCUGCCUUUGCCAGUCAGUCGGCCUGGCGUCAUUGUUCGCUUCAUGCCUUGUAUACGUAAGUCUUGUUUAUUUCAUGCCCCAGU